rnacentral:rRNA from 1 species
UACGUAGGGGGCAAGCGUUGUCCGGAUUUAUUGGGCGUAAAGAGCGUGUAGGCGGCCAUACAGGUCCGUUGUGAAAACUGGAGGCUUAACCUCCAGACGUCGAUGGAAACCAUCUGGCUAGAGUCCGGGAGAGGAGAGUGGAAUUCCUGGUGUAGCGGUGAAAUUCGUAGAUAUCAGGAGGAACACCAAUGGCGAAGGCAGCUCGCUGGGACGUGACUGACGCUGAGACGCGAAAGCGUGGGGAGCAAACAGG